rnacentral:sRNA from 1 species
GAUCAGUUCUGUGUUCUCAGUUCGACCACUGGUUUUCCAGAGACAAUAUUUUGACCUGAGAUCUAGCCCAGUGCUCUUCGAAAGUCAUUUUUGCGUUGACGCGAAGUGUUCGGCAGCGCCCAUUCCGUCUUACGCUUCUUUUGUCGGCGACUCUUUUGGCAACGUCCGCUGGGACAUUUGGCCAAAGAAAUGACAGACCCUUUCGCGCCGUCGACAUUGUCGGCCAGCAUGGAUGAUCCAUAACUAACAACUGAAAAUUGCUCCGUGGACGUGCUGGGUUCCUAACCCUUGCUGUCGCCCAAGUUAUUCUGUCAUGGAAGUCUUUCUUUCGGCAAGAAUGCGAUAUCUUCGAUCAUCAUCAAAAGCCCUCUCCUCGGAAUUCCGUUUGUGGGCUUGCGAGCGCUAAACACACAUUUUCCUGUCCAUGGCCCGGCGAUCACUGCUGAAUCUCCGGGCGCUUAGGUGAAAAAAGAGUCUUGGGCGAAUAGAAAGCACCAACCGAGCCGG